ensembl:piRNA 21ur-638 ncRNA
UCUUUUCGUUCCUCUAUCUAA